GAGGAAAAGAAACCAACAGGGAUUGCCCUAGUAACGGCGAGUGAAGCGGCAACAGCUCAAAUUUGAAAUCUGGCUUCGGCCCGAGUUGUAAUUUGCAGAGGAUGCUUUUGGUGCGGUGCCUUCCGAGUUCCCUGGAACGGGACGCCACAGAGGGUGAGAGCCCCGUAUGGUCGGACACCAAUCCUGUGUAAAGCUCCUUCGACGAGUCGAGUAGUUUGGGAAUGCUGCUCUAAAUGGGAGGUAAAUCUCUUCUAAAGCUAAAUACCGGCCAGAGACCGAUAGCGCACAAGUAGAGUGAUCGAAAGAUGAAAAGCACCUUGAAAAGGGGGUUAAACAGUACGUGAAAUUGUUGAAAGGGAAGCACUUGUGACCAGACUUGGGCCGGGCGGCUCAUCAGGGGUUCUCCCCUGUGCAUUCCGCCCGGUACAGGCCAGCAUCGGUUCUUACCGGGGGAUAAGAACGGCAGGAACGUGGCUCCCUCUCGGGGGAGUGUUAUAGCCUGCCGUACGAUACCCUGGGCGGGGACCGAGGUUCGCGCUUCCGCAA
rnacentral:rRNA from 1 species